GCCUGGGUGGCUCAGUUGGUUAAGCGUCCAACUUUGAUUCAGGUCAUGAUCUCAUGGCUCGUGGGUUUGGGUCCCACUUCAGGCU
rnacentral:tRNA from 1 species